ACCCCCACCGGCCUAACCCGCGGUGCGGGGCCAGGGCCGGAACUGCCCGCCCGGCUCCUUGCCCGGCUCCUUGUGGCUGCUGGGGACCCCCGACACCAGCCACUUUCCCUUCCCGGCCCAUAGCAAGAUUGGCUUCUCCGGUCACCUUUAUUUUUUUAGGCUCGAGGCGUCUGCCGCACCUCAGCCCACGACCUGCCCCGCUGGGAGGUGCGGGCCGCUGGCCAGGCCCUGACCGCAACCUGGCCCAGAGGCCCCAGCCCUCAGGCAAGGUUCUCCGGUGAAGCCACAGCCUGGCCACCUGUCUCGAUCUCCCCACCGAGAAGGCCCCGCCCCUCCCGCUGCAGCCCCACAGCAUGCAGCCCCAGGAGAGCCACGUCCACUAUAGUAGGUGGGGGGACGGCAGCACGGACGGAGUCAGCCUAGGGGCUGUGUCCAGCACAGAAGAGGCCUCGCGCUGCCGCAGGAUCUCCCAGAGGCUGUGCACGGGCAAGCUGGGCAUCGCCAUGAAGGUGCUGGGCGGCGUGGCCCUCUUCUGGAUCAUCUUCAUCCUGGGCUACCUCACAGGCUACUAUGUGCACAAGUGCAAAUAAAUGCUGCCCCGCAUGCACGCGGGGGGCUGGCCGCAC
rnacentral:lncRNA from 1 species